rnacentral:lncRNA from 1 species
AAAAAUGAAGAUAAAUAUAAAACAGAAAAAUAUAAAAUAACUAGAAAAACUAAAAACUAGAUCUUAGAGUCUUUGGCCUUAUGGAGGUAGUGCUGAGAUAAUGUUUGCUUGUUUUUGUCUUGCAUUUUUUUCGUUUUUCUAGUAAGUACAUCCAUGAUGACGGCAAAUCGAUGACUGGUUUCUCGUUCAGUAUCUGUUCUUUGUGCUGGGUUUUCAGUAUUUCUAUAGACUCUGUUAGGAAAGCUUGUGAUUGUGCAACUAAAGGUUUUAUUAUUAUUGUGUUUUGCCAGUCUAUUUGUAGGUCACUGCCGAAUGCUUCCAUUGCAAGAGCGGUGGAUAGCUUCCCCAACUAUAUCUUUCUUAUGUUCAUUUAUCCUUUGUUGUAAGGUUCUGGUGGUUACCCCUAUGUAUGCCGUCUAUUGUUGGGUGUCAUUAUACUUAGCUGAUUUUAAUGGCAUAUUUUUAUCCCUAUAGCUUCAACUAUAUUAAAAAUGUCUUAUAAUAAAGUUACUGAGGAUAUAUUCUAUUUUGGAUCAUUCAUUCUUUUUAUGGUAUGGAAAGCAUAAAAAGCAUUUGAGUACAGUGGAAAUAAGAUAUUUGAGGAGUGUGGCUGAAGUGAU